rnacentral:snoRNA from 1 species
CAGCAGGAUUUAGACUACAAUAUAGCUGUUAAGUGCUAAUUUGUUGUUCCCCCAACUCAAAAGUAAAGUUGUUUCCUAUCUACCCCUGUCUGCUAGUUUCUUGUAGCAGCCCAGGGACGCUUGAUCUCAUACAU